rnacentral:misc_RNA from 1 species
GAUGAAGAACGCAGCGAAAUGCGAUAAGUAAUGUGAAUUGCAGAAUUCAGUGAAUCAUCGAAUCUUCGAACGCACAUUGCGCCCCCUGGUAUUCCGGGGGGCAUGCCUGUUCGAGCGUCAUUUCACCACUCAAGCCUCGCUUGGUAUUGGGCAACGCGGUCCGCCGCGUGCCUCAAAUCGACCGGCUGGGUCUUCUGUCCCCUAAGCGUUGUGGAAACUAUUCGCUAAAGGGUGUUCGGGAGGCUACGCCGUAAAACAACCCCAUUUCUAAGGUUGACCUCGGAUCAGGUAGGGAUACCCGCUGAACUUAAGCAUAUCAAUAAGCGGAGGA